UACAGAGACUGCAAGCGUUAUUCGGAUUCACUGGGCGUAAAGGGUGCGCAGGCGGCCGGGUGUGUCAGAUGUGAAAUCCCGAGGCUUAACCUCGGAACUGCGCCUGAAACUACUCGGCUAGAGUAUUGGAGAGGGUAACGGAAUUCACGGUGUAGCAGUGAAAUGCGUAGAUAUCGUGAGGAACACCAGAGGCGAAGGCAGCUCGCUGGGACGGUACUGACGCUGAGGAGCGAAAGCGUGGGGAGCAAACAGG
rnacentral:rRNA from 1 species